GAUAAUGCUCCUGAUACUGGACGAGCUGGCCAGGUGAUAGGUUGGUGGCUAGGUUUAUUUUAGGAGCCAUUAGAGUCUAUACCAUUGCUGAAUGUCAGAACAUGGAAUGUUAAGUUUUAACAUGUAACCUGGCGUGAACUGCUGUUACAACCAUAUGAGUGACCUAACUGCUGGAGAAAAAAUAAACCUGCUGUUUGAAUUUUACUUGGUGUAUGUGAUCCUUGUCACAUUUGCUGCCCAAACGGGGCCCACAUAGAUGGACACAGCAAUGGACCCAGGAUUAAAUUGAGUUUGAGUGCUCUGACAGCAGCUGAUUGUGUAAGUGGGUAAGGCAGCUCUAAAAUGGCAACUAUUUCACACCUUGACAGAAUUAUUUACUUCAAUAUGUGGAUUGGAGGCCAGGACUGUUGCUCCAAAUGGAUUUCCCCUGAUGAAGUCCUUAUAAGGAUGAAACACGUUGGGUCCAAAGAUUAAUUAUCUUCUUUAAGGACAACAAGCCCCAGAAAUGAUCAGCUCUUUAGGGGUUUCUUUGUCCAAUUGUUAUGUAUAAAUACAUUUUAAUAAUUUUAUACAUACUAUAGAACCAUGAUUGUUUGAUGAUGAUAAGAAGAGGCAUGGACGAAGAGAAGCACAACAAUGUUCAAUGCCACAAAACGGAAUCUAAGGAUGGCAGGUCCUUCACAUCAGCAGCAGACAUCUCUGCAGACUCAGCAGUAUGAUCCGGCAGAAGACCAGCACGUUCUUACCAACGUCCCAAAAGACACUCAUGUGGAACACGCAGAAUUGGGUGAGAGUAUGGCAAACUCAGAGGUGUCGACAGCUGUACCGGGCACAGAAUUAUAAACUUUCCGUUACCCCGUGUGAGAAGGACACCCCUAAGUUCAACCAUUUUGCCACCACAAAAGGAAUAUUAGUAGUUUUACAUCCUAAGUGACCUUUGUGGAGCACAUUGUAUGCAGGAUGGAAUACAAAUCGCAGGAGCAUCUCUUCUGCUUUUGUCUCUGACGCAUUUCUGCCUUUUUUCAUGGUGGAACGCAAGGUGGAAUGCAAAUCAUGGCAAACCACAGUGGAACUCAAAUCACGGCAUCCCACUUCCGGUUUUGCCUCUGACAUACUUCCAGUGGUGGAUAAGUGCGGGAAAUGGAGGAGAAGGUGUCUGCCUGGUGGGGAUGUGUUUGUUUAAUUGAUAAAGGUAUUUAUAUGUGUUUUGGGACACUCAUCAUCCACUUCUGAAGAAGGACCUGUGAGUCCGAAACAUGUUAAGUUCUGGAUAAGGGACACUCUAAUGAACUGACUUCUGUACCAGUGCUCGUGUGAACCCCAUCCUAUCAUUGGUGUCCGGGAUCAAUACAAACUCUAUGGUUUGGAUGGGUAGGUGAUGAUUGCCCUGUGAAGCCGUGUCCUUGAGGAUACCACUUUGUGUGGUUUAAUAUGCUGUUUAUUUACGUUUUUAUUGUGAGUGUUUCGUGUUAUUAAAACCAAUCCGUUACUUUUUUGAUGAUG